rnacentral:rRNA from 1 species
GACGAACGCUGGCGGCGUGCUUUACACAUGCAAGUCGAACGGUAAGGCCCCUUCGGGGGUACACGAGUGGCGAACGGGUGAGUAACACGGGGGUGAUCUGCCCUGCACUUCGGGAUAAGCCUGGGAAACUGGGUCUAAUACCGGAUAGGACCACGCUCUGCAUGGAGUGUGGUGGAAAGCUUUUGCGGUGUGGGAUGGGCCCGCGGCCUAUCAGCUUGUUGGUGGGGUGAUGGCCUACCAAGGCGACGACGGGUAGCCGGCCUGAGAGGGUGUCCGGCCACACUGGGACUGAGAUACGGCCCAGACUCCUACGGGAGGCAGCAGUGGGGAAUAUUGCACAAUGGGCGCAAGCCUGAUGCAGCGACGCCGCGUGGGGGAUGACGGCCUUCGGGUUGUAAACCUCUUUCAGUACCGACGAAGCGCAAGUGACGGUAGGUACAGAAGAAGCACCGGCCAACUACGUG